rnacentral:rRNA from 1 species
UUUUUUUUGUUUGCGGUCACACGCAAUAAAUACAACUUUCAACAACGGAUCUCUUGGCUCUCGCAUCGAUGAAGAACGCAGCGAAAUGCGAUACGUAAUGUGAAUUGCAGAAUUCAGUGAAUCAUCGAAUCUUUGAACGCACCUUGCGCCCCUUGGCAUUCCGAGGGGCACACCCGUUUGAGUGUCGUGAAAUCAUCAAAAACCAUUUCUUUUUAUUAGAAAAGGAUUUUGGACUUGGAGGUUUGAUGCUUGCUCUUGUCAACAAAAGCAAGCUCCUCUCAAAUGAAUUAGUGGGGUCUGCUUUGCUGAUCCUUGACGUGAUAAGAUGUUUCUACGUUUUGGACUUGGCAUCGUGCCUGCUUCUAACUGUCUUAUGGACAAAUGAUGGUGCUCCGGUCACUGCCAAUCCACAUUGGUUUGGAGGCUGGACCCACAAAAAGAACCCU